GGGGUGUUAGCUCAGUCGGUAGAGCAGCUGACUCUUAAUCAGCGGGCCCGGGGUUCGGAUCCCCGACAUCCCACCA
rnacentral:tRNA from 1 species